rnacentral:lncRNA from 1 species
AAUGCCCCCUCUGAUGAUUGAGUGCAUGAGCCACAUCCACCGAGAUCAAAUACUGAACGAUAGAUGCUGUUUGCCUCUAGAUUAUAGAAAGAAAAACAGUCAUGCUGUAGUCGAACCUUUUUUUGUGCCACACCACAUCCCGUUCGUUGUAGCUUCGCGUCACGCUCUCCUAGGCAACUGCAAAUGCGGAGUAACCGCGCUUCGCACCUGGCGGGGUGGGUAAAUGCGGAGUGUAGCGCCACCCUGUUCCACGAUUUGGCAAAGCAUAACUGCAAGCACAGAUCACUUUCCUUUCUCGGAGGCAGCACUUCCGGUUUACGAAAUCAAGGAUCAUUUUGGGGCCUGUUAGUCGAGCAACGUUGACUAGGCUCAUCUUGUGUUGUGUGUUUCGGCAUUUCCCACUGUGUAUGUGUGUGUGUAACAACCGACAUCGAUUUUACAGUGAGCCACCAAUGAAGGCGCACUCCGCUGGGCGCAAGUGGUACAGCUACAGCUCUCGCUGUCGGUCAUACUGCGUCGAAUGCACCGGAUCCCUUCAGACCUCCGAAGUUAAGCGGCGCAAGGCCCGGUUAGUACUUGGGUGGGGGACUCCCAGGGAAUACCCUCGGGUGCUGACAGCUUUUUUACCAGCCAUGUUUAUUUAUCUAUGUCGCUUCUGUUCUCGCGAAAGACUUUUCCUCCCGGAGUUAUCCUGACAAGUAAAACAAGCAAGCAUGUCUUGAAGCAUGCAUCAUAUCUUCGUACUGAUGUUCGGCCUAUAUGUGGGGAGGGCUGCC